ensembl:lncRNA
UGUAUAUUAUUGAAUCAAUAAAAGGAGGACAAUGCAGGCUCAAUCUUCUACAGGACUGUGCUUUAUUUUAGUCUAAGCAGAAUAUAAUGAACUAGAGAACUACAGUUCAGGAGCACUAUGGGAGGAACCACCCCGAAUUAGGGAAAACAGACCCGUGCCAACACUAAGUCAAAUUACAGUUCUGUUUUGAGAAAAUAGGGAUAAUCAACUAACUUUGUUCAAGUAAAAAUGAGAAAGAUAUACAAUUAUAUCUAAAAUAUAAAUAAAUCAGCUAAUAAGUACCUAAAAUAAAUUAUGAUAAAAUACAUAAAAUUACAUGUUUUAUAUGUCUGACAGAAGUAAAAUCAAGUGGAUGAAAUGCGAAAGAGAAGCUGGGAAUGUAAUGUCUCAUGAAGCAAAGUACAGUGGAUGAUUUUCGCUUUCCUUUAUAUCUUAAUGGUUGCACAAAGGCUCUCAUUUCAUGUUUGAUUAGGGCAACUCUGCUCUGUUGAUUUCAUGUGGUAAAAUUUGGUCCAUGUAACCGAUGGAAAUGUAACUGUACUGUAUGACCCCGUCCUUAUUGGUGUCAGAAGUGGGAUUGAAGCAAAACUGACACAAGGCAAUCUUUACAACUGACAGCUGCAUUUCAAUUAAACAGAAACUCAUCAUCUCAGCAAGGAAAAACCAGAGCAUGUUUACGAACAAUGGAAAAGAACUAGCAUUGGCAUCCCCAGGAUACAAUGUAUGUGAUACAUUUUUUAAGGUAAUACUGCCAGAGAGAAUGCAUGUGUUUUAAGGCAGACUUCCCUCUCUUGAUCAGUUUGGUGUCAAGGCCAUGGGUUGACCUGACUAGACCAAAACAGUGUUGUGGAACUUUUAAUCUGUUAGUGGCACAUUUUCUUCAGUGGUGUUGGAGUCAACCACAGUUGUUAUAUACAAGUUUGUCCAGUAAUGUUGAAAUAGCUCUUAAGAAAUUAUGUCUGAGAGAAACUUCCCGCAUACAGAAAAGAUGACAAUAAAAGAGAUGUCUCUGAUUCUUUUUCUAGAAAAAAAACAUUCAAGAUGAAGAAAGAAAUGAUCAAACAAAAGAGAAAUGUAUGGCUAAAAGACAAUGAUCACGGUAAAUGACAGCUUAUUUUUCAAAACAAAUCUGACAACAAAUGUUCUGAGGUUUUCCAAAAGAACAGAAGGUCGACAAUGAAAUCCUUUUGAACGUUACUUACAGCCGAUGCGUCCUCUCAAAAUUGUGUUGUGCAAUGGAUUCAUCUUUAUGAAUCCCCAUGACCUUUUAUCAUCUUUUACAGUCCAGUUUCUAAGUCUUGUACUGAAUGUAAGAGCUUUCUGUCAACAGCAUGUCUUUAAACUUGCCCAUUUACAAGUAAUUCCAUACAGGAUUGUGUAGCAAAAAGUCCCUUCAACAUGUAUCUUCAAAGCAUAUCAGAAUAAACCUUGAGACAAUGGGUCCAUCCCAGCUUCAGCAGAUAACAAAACAGAAAACAGAAGAGAAUGGAAAAAAAGAACCAUUUACCAACAUUAAUAUAAAAUCCAUUUUAACAUCAGCACUUCAAUAUACAAGAAAAAAAAAAAUCCCUACUGUUGAUAAAUUUGAUAAAUUAUUUCAUAGUUUCCUUCUCGUAGUCAGUGAAAUAUAUGAACUAUUUCUUUCUUUUUUUCCAACAUGAUUUAUUGUACGGUCGUCUAUAAAGAAGCCUUAACAGAAUUAAAAAAUAAGCUAUGUAAUAUGUACAGGAGUACCACAGGCAGCUGUGUACUCGGGCCGUGGGGAGAGCAGAGGCAGGGGCAGGCCACAGAGGCAGGGAGAUCUGCAGGGUAGUCAUUCAUUCUAGUAGCAGUGCAUCCGGCUCACCUGUCCCUCUCUUUUUCUCAUCAUACACCUGUGUUCUGUGUUUGGAUAAUGCGUAAAUAUGUUUUCAGCUCCAAUCUGGCAACCCUUCACCCCCUUCUGCCCAUACCCGUGGAACUGUGGAGUAUAGCGGUGACUGGCGGGCGCCGCCCAGCCCCGAUGGCAAGCUAGCUAGCUAGCGACUAGCGAACUAACGGCUGCUGUCACUAUCACCUGCUCCUCUGCAUGGCACGGAGCAGACUGAGGGCGGGCCUACUCUUCACGUCUUUGAGGUCACAUAUAUCAGUCUCAUCAGCUCCGAUUGGACUUAAUCCAAUUAGCUAGUGCGCAGGCAAUCUUUCAACUGUCAGAAAUAUCAUGAUGUGUCAGUGUAAACCUAAUUAAUGGAUUGCUCCAGGCUGGAAUUGAAGCCCUACUAAAUCAUCUAGAAUCAGAUCUCUGCUAUCUUCUCCCUGUUAUGUAGGGUGGUGUUCAGCUGAGUGUAUAGUGCAUAUUCAUUCAUAUUUACUCAGUAACCAAAAGGCCAAAAGGUUAAAAUAUCCCACCCUCUCCAAAGAUUCCCUGCACUGCUGUGGAUACGUUUUAUAGUGACAUCAAUGUCCACACAGCCAGGUGACUACUAUAGACAGACCUCUCUACUGUACAGUUCUUACUUCCUGACUCAUUUGUUUGUGUUCAAUUAUUUACAUGAAGGAAUAAAAAAUUCUGUCUCCAUCACUUUGAUUCGAAUCUCCAGCUUUGUUGUCAAACAUGAUCCCACACUUUUCUGUGAUUGACUGCUCUUUAUGUUGUUUAUGAUAGGAUCAAAGUCUUCCUUUUAGUGUCUUUUAAAAUUGCACGAUGACCUGAUGGAUCCAAGGCAUUAAUGUUUCAAUGACAGACAGCACUCCCCGUGACUGACUGACAGUGUGAUUCUGUCUCUGGCUCCUCCAGCUGCCCUGGCAGAGGUCCAACAUGCUCCCCCAGCUCCCACCAUACUCUCUGCGCCUCUGGGUGAAUACGCAGCUCUUAUUCCUCCCCAGCCUGACAAGGCAGGCAGGGCCCAUGGGGAAGGCAAGGCUCUGAAAGUUUCCACUAAUCAUGACAUCAUAGCGCCUGAUGCCCUGAGUAUCGAAGUGACUUUGUGGAGUUUCAGUUUAGCACCCAACCCCCCCCUCCAAACCCACUUCACUUCCCCUCUCAGCUAAAAUCCCAUUUCCACGGCGAAAACCCCUUUUUGCGUUGCCUAAGCGAGAUGACGGAAAAGCUCUCCUCUUCUCCCAAAGCAGCUAUUAAAUGAGAGCCAUUAAUUUCUCCCUCCUGUCCAACAGGUUCCUUUAAUUAUCUCUCCACUUUCAGUCAAUUACAUUUCACUUCCUUUCCUUGACAAUCACUGCUAUUUUAGGGUGAGUGUUCUCUACACCCAGGGGCUGGGGUCUGCUAGACAUGCUAGGCAGAUCUCUCUUUGCUCACUAGGAUUGGUUAUUCAACCCAUCCACCAGCUUCAUAGCUCAGAUGAUUGGUUAUCUAGGCUCUUAGUCAACCUCUUCGGCUCUUAGGAUUGGUUACCCUGCCCCUCUGUCAGCCUCGGAGCUCUGAGGUUUCUAACUCCUCAUGAGGACAGACUUUAUGGAAUGCAAACUAGGAAGGUAUUAUAACUAGAGCCAGUAGAGGAGGCAGAAUAACCAGAGGUUAAGAAAUGUGAAUAACUGCCUCACAGGUGCUAAUGUUACAUGAGAAGGUCAGACAUUACAGUGACUGUUGACAUGACCAUAAAUAUGUUUUUGUUAUAUUAUAUUUUACAUACAGUACCAGUCAAAAGUUUGGACACACCUGCCCAUUCAAGGGUUUUUCUUUAUUUUUACUUUUAUCUACAAUGUAGAAUAAUAGUGAAGACAUCAAAACUAUGAAAUAACACAUAUGGAAUCAUUAAGUAACCAAAAAAGUGAUAAACAAAUCAAAAUAUAUUUAUAUUUGAGAUUCUUCAAAGUAGCCACCUUUUGCCUUGAUGACAGCUUUGCACAUGCAUGGCAUUCUCUUAACCAGCUUCAUGAGGUAGUCACCUGGAAUGCUUUUCAAUUAACAGGUGUGCCUUGUUAAAAGUUCAUUUGUGGAAUUUCUUUCCUUCUUAAUGCGUUUGAACCAAUCAGUUGUGUUGUGACAAGGUAGGGGUGGUAAUCAGAAGAUAGUCCUAUUUGGUAAAAUACCAAGUCCAUUUUAUGGCAAGAACAGCUCAAAUAAGCAAAGAGAAAUGAUUCCAUCAUUACUUUAAGACAUGAAGGUCAGUCAUUAUGGAACAUUUCAAGAGCGUUGAAAGUUUAUUCAAGUGCAGUUACAAAAACCAUCAAGCACUAUGAUGAAACUGGCUCUCAUGAGGACAGACACAGGAAAAUGAAGACCCAGAGUUAUGUCUGCUGCAGAGGAUAAGUUCAUUAGAGUUCCAGCCUCAGAAAUUGCAGCCCAAUUAAAUGCUUCACAGAGUUCAAGUAACAGAUACAACUCAACAUCAAUUGUUCAGAGGAGACUGUGUGAAUCAGGCCUUACUGCAAAGAAACCACUACUAAAGGACAUAAAUAAGAAGAAGAGACUUGCUUGGGCCAAGAAUCACGUGCAAUCAUCAUUAGACCGGUGGAAAUCUGUGUUUUGGUCUGAUGAGUCCAAAUUUGAGAUUUUGUUCAAACCGCCGUGUCUUUGUGAGACGCAGAGUAGGUGAACGGAUAAUCUCCACAUGUGUAAUUCCCACCGUGAAGCAUGGAGGAGGAGGUGUGAUGGUGUGGGGGUGCUUUACUGGUGACACUGUCUGGGAUUUAUUUAGAAUUCAAGGCACACUUAACCAGCAUUUCUAUCACAGUAUUCUACAGCGAUACGCCAUCCCAUCUUGUUUGCACUAAGUGGGACUAUCAUUUGUUUUUCAACAGGACAAUGACCCAACACACCUCCAGGCUGUGUAAGGGCUAUUUGACCAAGAAGGAGAGUGAUGGUGCUGCAUCAGAUGACCUGGCCUCCACAAUCACCCGACCUCAACCCAAUUAAGAUGGUUUGGGAUGAGUUGGACCGCAGAGUUAAGGAAAAGCAGCCAACAAGUGCUCAGAAUAUGUGGGAACUCCUCCAAGACUGUUGGAAAAGCAUUCCAGGUGAAGCUGGUUGAGAGAAUGCCAAGAGUGGGCAAAGCUGUCAUCAAGGCAAUGGGUGGCUACUUUGAAGAACCUAAAAUCUCAAAUAUAUUUAGAUUGGUUUAACACUUUUUUGGUCACUACAUGAUUCCAUAUGUGUUAUUUUAUAGUUUUGAAGCCUCCACUAUUAUUCUACAAUGUAGAAUAUAGUAAAAAAUAAAGAAAAACCCUUGAAUGAGCAGGCGUGUCCAAACUUUUGACUGGUACUAUGUUUCCAAACAGACAUAAAGUGAGUUGAACUAACAACAUCAAUAACCUAUAAUGUCAAUCUAAAUAUUCUCAUCUGAACAUGAGUGGGUGGAUUUCAGUCCUGCGUAAGGCGAGUCACCCCUAAGUUAACAUUCUCCAGACAGCCUGUGCCUCGACUUAAGGCCAGACAGGGCCAGAUCUGAGCUGAGAUGGGCUGAGCUGGCAGCCUUCUGCAGUCAGUAAAAGAAGGAUAUAAAACCCACUUCUCAUUUCUGAUGUUCCAGAGCCUGGCUUCACUACAGCUAUUUCUGUUUUCACUGCAUGUCACACUAAUAACCUUCCUCCCCUGUGUAGAAGAGCAAUAAGAGUACCCUCGUUCAAACAGACCCCUGAUUUAACAUUGUCUAAUCUAGCCUUCCCAAGCAUGUUUCUGCAGCUCCCUGGUGCAACAGGAAGGCUAUACAAGCGUAGCACGUUAGCCAAGCAGGGAAUAUAAAACUGGGCAGGGGAUUGGACCUAGGCUGAACCUAACCUUGCUCUAAGUUGACUGUAGGGGUAUGCAGCAUUUAUCUGGUGUAGGAGCCAUCAGAGGGCUCAUGGGGAGGCUAAUGGGACUAGUCUUGCAGGAGGUGCUUUUGAAGCGGCAGAGAGACAAGCAUAGGAGAUUUCAUCGCUCACGGAACAUUAGGUUUCCUAUUGAUUAAUUCAGCAUUACAUAAAUAAUGAGCACAAAGGGGCUGCUGUGAAGAACAUGCAUUCAUAUUGACCUACUUCACAUUAAUGCAUGUGGCUUCCUAAUUCCUACAUGUUUGGCUGACUUCACAACAACUAAAGGUUGAGUGUUUUUACUGUUUUUGAAGGCAAGUUGCGACAACCCAUGACCAAAGCUGGCACUGUUUUUUCAAUGGGCAUCGUUUUGAUUCAAAAUAACUACUGUGCACCUCCAGUUCUGAACAAUAUUCUGUGCUUUGCAGGUGUCCCGACUGCAAUACUGCCGUGAAAAAGACAAAUGUUUUAGAGCUGGUUGUUUUGUGGAAAAUGGCGGCCUCUGAGGAGAUUGUUGAGACACAAUUAAGUGCUGAAAGCUGAAGUACAAUAGCACAGGCCACCCGGCAGGCAGCUGCAACAGAGGAACUGAGGGUUUUUAAAUGGAAGAGUUGGUUGUCUGCUAACCAUUUCAACCUGCUAUUGUUCAGUACCUUUUGUGCCUGGAGCAAUAUUUCAAACCGGGUCUCUUUUGCCUUAUCUUCAACAUAAUCUAUACCCACGCCAAUCAAAUAUCCAACAUUAAUACCCAGAGUAGCUUUGACAUGGAGGGUUUCAUCCUGCUUCCUGGAUCCCAUCUCCAUCAUAAAUACGGCUGCGGUGAUAUCGGUGCCAGGUCAGCUGUCGGCAUCCUUGCCAGGGAGCCGCUACAAACAUAAUUCUCUCUAAUCUACCUUCUGUCAUCACAGAGCAUUCAAGGGACCAUCCCCACUGUCAUUUGGUCCAUGUGAUUAUGCAGAUGACUUUUCACUUGGUUGGUGUUAAUGUAUAGAGCCUCACUAUUACAACGUGAUUAGAGGGAAAGGUGAAAUAGCAUGUCUAAUAUGGAGGAAGAGAUAAUCGAAGGCGACUGAAGCCAAACACUGAACUGCAGGUUGGUUUGAAACAUUGUUCCAGGGGAACAGCUGAACAGCUAUGAACAGCUAGGUUGGCGUUCUGGAAGGCAUGAUGG